rnacentral:rRNA from 1 species
UACGUAGGGGGCAAGCGUUGUCCGGAAUCAUUGGGCGUAAAGAGCGCGUAGGCGGCCCUGUAAGUCCGCUGUGAAAGUCAAGGGCUCAACCCUUGAAUGCCGGUGGAUACUGCAGGGCUAGAGUCCGGAAGAGGCGAGUGGAAUUCCUGGUGUAGCGGUGGAAUGCGCAGAUAUCAGGAGGAACACCGAUGGCGAAGGCAGCUCGCUGGGACGGUACUGACGCUGAGGCGACGAAAGCGUGGGGAGCGAACAGG